UGGUUAAAGAAUCCUUUCCAGUGCGGUUUU
rnacentral:piRNA from 1 species